rnacentral:rRNA from 1 species
ACGGGUGAGUAACGCGUGGGUAACCUGCCUCAGUACAGGGGGAUAACAGUUAGAAAUGACUGCUAACACCGCAUAAUAUAGUGAAACCGCAUGAUUUUUGCUAAUCAAAUAUUUAUAGGUAUGAGAUGGGCCCGCGUCUGAUUAGCUAGUUGGUGGGUAAAAGCCUACCAAGGCGACGAUCAGUAGCCGGCUUGAGAGAGUGACCGGCCACAUUGGGACUGAGACACGGCCCAAACUCCUACGGGAGGCAGCAGUGGGGAAUAUUGGACAAUGGGGGAAACCCUGAUCCAGCCGACGCCGCGUGAGUGAAGAAGUAUUUCGGUAUGUAAAGCUCUAUCAGCAGGGAAGAUAAUGACAGUACCUGACUAAGAAGCCCCGGCUAACUACGUGCCAGCCGCCGC